rnacentral:rRNA from 1 species
GAUGAACGCUGGCGGCGUGCCUAAUACAUGCAAGUCGAGCGAACAGACGAGGAGCUUGCUCCUCUGACGUUAGCGGCGGAUGGGUGAGUAACACGUGGAUAACCUACCUAUAAGACUGGGAUAACUUCGGGAAACCGGAGCUAAUACCGGAUAAUAUAUUGAACCGCAUGGUUCAAUAGUGAAAGACGGUUUUGCUGUCACUUAUAGAUGGAUCCGCGCCGCAUUAGCUAGUUGGUAAGGUAACGGCUUACCAAGGCAACGAUGCGUAGCCGACCUGAGAGGGUGAUCGGCCACACUGGAACUGAGACACGGUCCAGACUCCUACGGGAGGCAGCAGUAGGGAAUCUUCCGCAAUGGGCGAAAGCCUGACGGGGCAACGCCGCGUGAGUGAUGAAGGUCUUCGGAUCGUAAAACUCUGUUAUUAGGGAAGAACAAAUGUGUAAGUAACUAUGCACGUCUUGACGGUACCUAAUCAGAAAGCCACGGCUAACUACGUG